UUAAACAAAGGAUCUCUGAUAAGAACUCUCCUCCGAUCUCCGUGUUUUUUUAUUUGAAUGAGGAUCGCGUAAGAACUCUCCCCCGACCUCUUGAAAUUUAAUUACGAUCGUAUCGCGCAGGGACCUUAGGCUAAGGGUUCCAGCAUCCGAAGACACUGGGAACCCGGAUUAGGCUUCUUUUAACUCAUCGGUACCUUAUGACUAGUUAGGGAAAACCAGACUGAAUUUUUACCGAUCUCCUAUGUGAUCGCCUUACCAGUAUCUUUCGGCAAGCAAUAUUUGCUCUAUUUCAUUUGCUAGUCUGAAAUUCGAUUCUACUUUGACUCCCCACCUCACCCAGUCACCUUCUUGAGCUAGUCUAGUGGCUCGUCUUUAUUAUUUUCUCUGAUUUAUUAUCCAAACUUUUAUUUAAAGAAACUCUUGUGUUAAGAUACAAUUACCAACAUUUUAUCAAACUACCUAUACGCUACCCGUAACCAGAACACCUACAUUAGGAAAUAAUAAAAGACCAAGAACAAAUAAAUAACAUGAACUGAUGUAUCAAAAGAUAAACUCAAGAGAAUAACCACCUACGUGGGACCUUCUAACAUAAGACAAACUUUAACGAAAAUUACAAGCAUAAAAAAAAGAAAAUACAUAAAAUAAAAACAAGCACUUGAUAAAGCAGCGGUAUAGACACUUACCUGCAGGGAAUCGAUUCUAUAGAACUAACUAUGGAGUCACAAAAUAUAGUAGAGCCGUGCGCUGCUAGCCUGGGGACUAAUAUUCGCCUUGGAAUGAAGAGUACCAAGUUAAAAUGCAGUCAAACCGAAAUGACAACAAUCGAGUUUGAAUGAGGUUGAGCUUGGAAAAUGAAAGUGGAAAUAAAGGCAGAACUAAAACUUAGAGAGGGUAUCACAAAGUAAUGAACGAACUGAAAAUGGAGAGUUUCAGUAUUCAAUACUUCUUCAAAGAAAAUACUUUAGAAAACUGGUUUCUGAAGUUUUUCCUAUUUUUGAAAGUUUAAAAAUAGCAGAGUAGCAAAACUGAAUUAAGUUUUAGAGCCUUUCCACUAUAGUCACUACCAUUUUCUUCGUUUUUCUUUUUCAACAGUUUUCAUACAGGUAUUUAUAGGGACCGGGUGCUCCCAAUGAAGGGUCAA
rnacentral:misc_RNA from 1 species